UACCAGCACCCCGAGUGGUCGGGACGAUUAUUGGGCCUAAAGCAUCCGUAGCCGGUUCUGCAAGUCCCCGUUAAAUCCAGCUGCUCAACAGAUGGGCCGCGGAGGAUACUACAGAGCUAGGAGGCAGGAGAGGCAAGCGGUACUCAGUGGGUAGGGGUAAAAUCCGUUGAUCCAUUGAAGACCACCAGUGGCGAAGGCGGCUUGCCAGAAUGCGCUCGACGGUGAGGGAUGAAAGCUGGGGGAGCAAACCAGGG
rnacentral:rRNA from 1 species